rnacentral:rRNA from 1 species
UAGGGAAUCUUCCGCAAUGGGCGAAAGCCUGACGGAGCAACGCCGCGUGAGUGAUGAAGGUCUUCGGAUCGUAAAACUCUGUUAUUAGGGAAGAGCAAAUGUGUAAGUAACUAUGCACGUCUUGACGGUACCUAAUCAGAAAGCCACGGCUAACUACGUGCCAGCAGCCGCGGUAAUACGUAGGUGGCAAGCGUUAUCCGGAAUUAUUGGGCGUAAAGCGCGCGUAGGCGGUUUUUUAAGUCUGAUGUGAAAGCCCACGGCUCAACCGUGGAGGGUCAUUGGAAACUGGAAAACUUGAGUGCAGAAGAGGAAAGUGGAAUUCCAUGUGUAGCGGUGAAAUGCGCAGAGAUAUGGAGGAACACCAGUGGCGAAGGCGACUUUCUGGUCUGUAACUGACGCUGAUGUGCGAAAGCGGGGGGAUCAAACAGG